GUAGGUGGCAAGCGUUGUCCGGAAUUAUUGGGCGUAAAGCGCGCGCAGGUGGUUCGUUUAAGUCUGAUGUGAGAGCCCCCGGGCUCAACCGGGGAGGGUCAUUGGAAACUGGGGAACUUGAGUGCAGGAGAGGAAAGUGGAAUUCCACGUGUAGCGGUGAAAUGCGUAGAUAUGUGGAGGAACACCAGUGGCGAAGGCGACUUUCUGGCCUGUAACUGACACUGAGGCGCGAAAGCGUGGGGAGCAAACAGGAUUAGAUACCCUGGUAGUCCACGCCGUAAACGAUGAGUGCUAAGUGUUGGGGGGGUUUCCGCCCCUCAGUGCUGCAGCUAACGCAUUAAGCACUCCGCCUGGGGAGUACGGUCGCAAGACUG
rnacentral:rRNA from 1 species